UACGUAGGGUGCAAGCGUUAAUCGGAAUUACUGGGCGUAAGGCGUGCGCAGGCGGCUUUGCAAGACAGGUGUGAAAUCCCCGGGCUUAACCUGGGAACUGCAUUUGUGACUGCAUGGCUGGAGUGCGGCAGAGGGGGAUGGAAUUCCGCGUGUAGCAGUGAAAUGCGUAGAUAUGCGGAGGAACACCGAUGGCGAAGGCAAUCCCCUGGGCCUGCACUGACGCUCAUGCACGAAAGCGUGGGGAGCAAACAGG
rnacentral:rRNA from 1 species